rnacentral:rRNA from 1 species
CCUACGGGUGGCAGCAGUGAGGAAUAUUGGUCAAUGGACGAGAGUCUGAACCAGCCAAGUAGCGUGAAGGAUGACUGCCCUAUGGGUUGUAAACUUCUUUUAUAUGGGAAUAAAACGUUCCACGUGUGGGAUUUUGUAUGUACCAUAUGAAUAAGGAUCGGCUAACUCCGUGCCAGCAGCCGCGGUAAUACGGAGGAUCCGAGCGUUAUCCGGAUUUAUUGGGUUUAAAGGGAGCGUAGGUGGAUUGUUAAGUCAGUUGUGAAAGUUUGCGGCUCAACCGUAAAAUUGCAGUUGAAACUGGCAGUCUUGAGUACAGUAGAGGUGGGCGGAAUUCGUGGUGUAGCGGUGAAAUGCUUAGAUAUCACGAAGAACUCCGAUUGCGAAGGCAGUUCACUGGACUGCAACUGACACUGAGGCUCGAAAGUGUGGGUAUCAAACAGGAUUAGAUACCCUUGUAUC